rnacentral:misc_RNA from 1 species
AGGGAUCAUUACAGAGUUCAUGCCCUCACGGGUAGAUCUCCACCCUGUGUUAUUGUUACCUUGUUGCUUUGGCGGGCCGCCAUUAGGCUACCGGCUUCGGCUGGUAAGCGCCCGCCAGAGGAUUCAAACCCUGAAUUUAUUGUCGUCUGAGUACUAUAUAAUAGUUAAAACUUUCAACAACGGAUCUCUUGGUUCUG